UGGGAAUCUUAUUUCCAAAAGUCUGGUGGG
rnacentral:piRNA from 1 species